UGCUCUCCUUACUGAAGGUCUCCCAGUGGUCGGAUUUCACCAUGGUCCUCUCCACACACAUGGGCAGAUGUGCUGGGAUAUUCGUCAUUGCUUUUAUAUGUGACGUGGCUGGAUUGAUCAUCCUCCUCUUGGGGAUUUUUGCCAAUCUGGACUAUUGGGACUUCUUUAUUUACUCAGGAGCACUGCUGCUGGCCUUCAGCCUGGUCUUCUGGAUAUUCUGGUACUCGUUCAACAUUGAGAUCCCCUUUACGGAACUAGGCUUUUAACUCACCUACAACUGCGGGAAAGCACACAUGGUACCUAUGGGCUAGAGAAGCAACAUUUCAGCAGCUGAGAAAUAUCUGAAAGCUUUACUCAACUGCAGAAGAGCAUUAAACCCCCCACAGUGAAGGGGCCUGUUAUUUCCCACGCUGUCAUCCAUCUGGCAAACCUUCCAGUGGAAAGUGCCCAUGGAAAGCAGCCAUGCUGUUCCCCAUGCCCGUGGAACAAGGGCAAUUUGGAAGCUGCAACAUCAGUCCCGAUUCCUGCGACUGCCACCAUUUCCCAUACGGCCUCACCAACCAGUUUGGAUGAAGAAUUUCCCAACUUUGCCCAAUGUGAGCAGACUCCUGUACCGAGAGCUGGUCAAUCAUUUUCCAAUGCUGAAAAUGCUGUUUCAUCAACAUCGAAACUUUCCAGGAGAACGUGUCGAUUUCAGCAGAAUUUCAUCCUUGUUCCGUUUCGACCUUCUCAGGAUGAAACAUUUCGAUUUAUCACUUUGAAAUGACUGUUUGUGUCAAAUUUUAGUUUAGUUUAGUUUAUACAAAAAUAUCAACUAAAUGUUUUGAUUUCAUCAAAAUGAAAUGUUU